UCUAGUGGACAUUGGAGCCCUGCAGUGAGCUGUUUCUUUGUUUUUUCACUGUUUGUUCAUGUUCAGCUCAGCAUCUGCCCGCUUUGAUUUGGAUGUACAUGCAUACUCUUAUCCUGUAGACAUUCAUAUCUGAAAAUGAGUUCAUGUUUGGGGUUCACCCUAAAAUGUUUUGGUCAUGAUCCAGCUAACUGUCAAUGAGCCUGCACAUUAGCAGCUUUGGGCUUAAGGACUUGUUGCUGUGACAACAGUUCCAGUUUGAUUCAUGGAAUGUGGAUGUUGACUUCAUCAUAUCGACGCUGACCCAAAUGUUCUAUAAUCCUAAAAAUGCCAACCAGUCACCAACCUGCGGUGGGAAGACGUAGUCGGCCACAUCCCAGACUCUCUCAGCUCCAUUCACAUUGGUGUAGCCCACUCCUUU